rnacentral:rRNA from 1 species
UACGUAGGGUGCAAGCGUUGUCCGGAAUUAUUGGGCGUAAAGAGCUCGUAGGCGGUCUGUCGCGUCGGAUGUGAAAACCCAGGGCUCAACCCUGGGCCUGCAUUCGAUACGGGCAGACUAGAGUUCGGUAGGGGAGACUGGAAUUCCUGGUGUAGCGGUGAAAUGCGCAGAUAUCAGGAGGAACACCAAUGGCGAAGGCAGCUCGCUGGGACGGUACUGACGCUGAGACGCGAAAGCGUGGGGAGCAAACAGG